rnacentral:lncRNA from 1 species
CAAACCACAGUUUGCCUCGCUCCCUGUGAGCAAUGCUGUUGAUAUAACGACCCAGCUCAGACAGGGAAGGAUUUCUAGUGGCUGCCACUGAUUUCCUACAGGAGGGCACUGUGGAAGGAAGGAGAGGUGGUACGCAUGGGGAAAGAUCAAAGUGCUUUCAGAGAUCUGCAGUAGUAUCGCAUUCUUCUUUCGAUUACGUGAGUGCAGCUGAAGACCUGGAGCAGCAGUGAUGAGGGAAGAAGUUCCCAGAGCUUUCUGUGCUGGUGAAAGAGGCAGCUGUGCUAAUUCUGAUACCGAGUAUUCUCUUACAAACUGAGAUGCUGCAAAACUCCUCAGAAGAGCAGAAAAGGAAGACUUACACCUCUGUCUGACACAGUUAAAAUCUCUCCCUGUGCACUUAUCAGCUUGCAUAUCUCUGUGAAACUCUGUGCUUCAGCGAGGGCUACAUCACUAGGCAACUACUGCAAAGAAACAUGAGUUCUACAGGAUUUCAGGGAAGAAUUCUUCCUCUACUUUUGUUCACUUCUGAGUUUGUUUCUUGGCACCCUCUUCCUUAAUGUGAGGUCAGCCAGAGUACUUUCACAGUUUUUCCUGUCUGUUUUGUCGUUUGUUUCUGUUUCGCAGGCUUACAGCUCCGAAGUCUUUCCAAGAGAGAAGAGAAACCAAACUGGAAGAUGAGAGCAUUGCACAGGCACCAAAUGCUGUUUCUGUUCAACCUUUGUUUCAUCGAGAAAAGUGGGUGUCUAAAAUCAAAGCACGCAUUACUUCCCAUCACUUACUUGUAAUCUGAGACUAGUGUUUUAGUGGAGUCUGCUGCCAGACUACAGAGAAAAGGAAACUUAGUGGAUCACCAGGUUUUUCAGCCUCUGAGAAAGAUAACCAACCAAGCACCAAGAGACAGGAUAGAAGCAUGAAGGUGGUAAUUAACCACAUAGCUGAUUUUGGACUGUUACCAUGCUACCAGAAAAACAUGCUGGGAGAAGCCAUCAUCCACCGUGAAUGAGUUUUCUUGUAUAUGGAAUCCACUUGUUUAAUAGGGCUCUUUUUGAGACUCAAUGAGACUCACUUUAAACAAUAACAGAAUCACAAAAUCACAGAGUUGUAGGAGUUGGAAAGGACCUCUAGAAAUCAUCGAGUCCAACCUCUUCUGCUAAAGGAGUUCCCUGCAGCAGGUCACACAGGAAAGUGUCCAGGUCGGUUUUGAAUAUCUCCAGAGAAGGAGACUCCACAACAUCUCUGGGCAGCCUGCUCCAAUGCUCUGCCACCCUCACAAUAAAGAAGUUCUUCCUCAUGUACGUAUGGAACUUCCUGUGUUCCAGUUUGUGCCUAUUUCUGUUGUCCUGUCACUGGGCUCUGCUGAAGGAGACUGGCCACAUCCACUUGACUCCUGCCCUUUAGAUAUUUAUCAACAGUGAUGAGAUCCCUCUCAGUCUUCUCCAGACGGAAUAGUCUCUCAGCCUUUCUUCAUAAGGGAGAUGCUCCAGGCCCCUAAUACUCUUUCUGGCCUUCCACUGGACUCUCUCAAGAAGAUCCCUGUCUUUCUUGAGUGAGGAGCCCAGAACUGGAUGCAGUACUCCAGAUGUGGCCUCACUGGGGCAAAGUAGCUGGGGAGGACCUCCUCCCUCAACCUGUUGUCCACACUUUUCAAUGAACCCCAACUUUUAGAGUCCAACUGGUCCCAGUAUUGUUCUGCCAAUGAGGAAAAGCUCCAGAGUGAAAAUGUUGGACUCUGAUUAUGCUUUGCUGUCAUUCAGCAGCACUCAUCCUUCCACCUCUGUCUUGAACAACUGUGUGACUGGUCUUUCCUCGCAGUAAUGAAUUAAACAGUGUAUAACCAAGUAGUUAUCAAUACAGAUUUUGUUCUCAGAGUUUCUUUGAACUUUAGUUUCAACUAGACAAUCCCUGGCACCAAAUCCAAGAAAAGAAAAACAUGAGGAAAAUAGUGAUGUAUGGGGAUUGGUUAUAUAUUCAUAAAGCCACUAAUCACAGUUUCUUUUCUCUCUCAUUUUUGCUAGGCUUUCUUUGUCUAUUUUCAGGUCUUAUCUCUAUAUGAACACUGAUAGCAGAUAAAUCAAGACAACAGCUUCCUUCAUUUUUAGGAGUUUUGUUAAAAUUGACUUUCUCCCUCUGACAUGAAUAUCAGUUUAUAUCUCAAUCAAAUCUGGAAUUGUAGUUUAGAGAGAAAAUACAUAAAAUAUGCGUAGAAGAUUUUCCUAUGUCAUCCCUCUCACAGACACUUUCUGUUACUUUUAGAUUUAUUUCAGAUUAUUGUUUACUUCGCAAUCAUUAAUAAUUUACAGAAGUAAAGGCUUUUGUUUGUUAGUGAUUUGUCAUAACUGGAAUAAUGAAAAUAAUUAUAUAUAUCUCCAGUUCUUCAGUUUUGUAAAGUUCUGCUAAACUCAAGUGUUCAAGCUGUAAUAUAUCUCUUCUACUUUGGGUCUUACCAUUGAAUGACCUGACCUUUUAAUAAAGAUUUUUGUUUCCUAUGGUGCUUGAUUUCUUUGGCUAAGUAAUAAAAAGUAUGUGACACUUAAGAGCUUCCUACUUCCCUACUCUCUCUUAUAGUAGAGUGCUUAUGUAAUGAAGAGUGAUUGCUUGCAAGUCCAGAGAAAGAAAUCCUAAGCAUAUCUGUAUCUUCCAGUUGAUGGGUAUUAAAAAAAAAAAAAAAAAAAAUAACCAAACUGCCUGUCAGCCUUGGGAAGAUAAAGAGGACAGAGCAGUGUGAAUGAAUUCAUCAGCAACAAAUGACAGCAAACUUGUCUGAUUUCCCUCUGUGACCAAGUAACAGACAUUAUGAAGAGUCAAGCAGCCGUAUCUAUCUGUCUGUCUGUGGUAUAUCUUGACUUCUGUGGUAUUUUUGAGGCUGCCUUUGACAAUUGUUACCUAGAUGUAUUUUGAUAACAUGCUAUAGUUGAAUGCACAGUAGUUGCAAAAUUCUAAAUAAUUAGACCAGAACAAAGUAAAAAUGAAAGGCUGUGCUAUUGGAGGUUAUAUAUUGAAUUGUUCCAAGUCGGGUUUUGAAUUUUUUUUUUUAACUAAUGACUCAGUUGAAGGAAAAGAAAAUAUCUAUUAAAUUUACAGACAUUAGAAAGCUGGCAGAAGUUAUAUAGGCACUAAAGGACAGGUUUUGACUUCUGUAUGAUCUUGAUAAAUUAGGUGUUUUAUAGAAAGACAGGUGAUAGUUCAAGAAGACAAGUGCUAAAUACUAAACUUUUAUAGCAAAGUGAUUGGUAAUGCAAAGACUGAAUAAGAACAACAGCAGUAUAAUUAAUCCCCUUGACAUCAGAUGAAGAUUAGUUGCAUAGGUUGUUGGAAGGGAAAAUGUCUUAUCACUGUUACUGCUUGUUCUAAAAAAAUGAUUGUUUUGCACUGGUCAUUGUAACAUAGAGUAACACUCAGCAGCAGACCCUCUCAGAGAGAACUGGGUUCUACUGUCUGCGCAGAAAGGCUGAGGUUACCUUAACUGGAGACUGGAAUCACUUAUGCAUGUUCUUGUGUUGAUAUCACAAGAAAUUUCCCUCCUUAUGAUUUCUUGCACUGCCACCGGUUAAGUUGUAAGGAGCUAAUUCUACUGCUGUCAAAGGAUUUCCU